rnacentral:rRNA from 1 species
AAGGGGUGAACGUGGGUUGGGUCCCUCGGGGUUCCUCCUUCCUUCCCUCCCUCCUCUUUGGGAUUGGGAUCGCUCUGGAGGUCUCUCCGGUACCUAGGCAGGUUCGACCCGCUCGACGCGAGGAAGCACCUCCGCACGUUGUUCCUGGGCCGCGAGGAGCGGCUGGGCCGGGAGCGGAAGAAGGCGCUGAUGGAGCGGAGGGAGCCGCGGUGGGAGGGGCGGCGGCGGCGGUUCGGGCGCGGGUUCCGCUCCAGGUACCUGCUGUAGCUGCUGCUGCUGCUGCUGCUCCUCCUGCUGGUCCUGUACGCGCUGGGGUGGGGGCUCGGGCUGCUCGAGCUGCUCCUCUAGCAGCUCAGGCUGGAGCUCGAGCUGCUGCUGCCGCAGCAGGUGGGGCUGGUGCUGCUGCGCGGGGUCUUCUACCCUCUGAGAAGGCAGCUCCACUGGCUCCUCUCGGCACUGCGGAGGGUCCUUCGUUUCCCGGUCCGUUACCUUCGUUACAGUCUUCCCUUUGACCUUCUCCGGUAACUCGUGGAGUGGUUCCGAUAUGACGACUUAGGUUGGAGCCGUUAGUACAUGCCAUGGUCUCGUAGACACAAAUAGUUUUACUUCUUCGGACGACGACGGUAGGCACUACGCUUACGACGAGAUCUCUAGUUGGGUCUGAGGCGUUUCCCGAUGUUCUGGGCACCUUACCGAUUACGAUACGAACCGUUCACCCUCCUUCGACGAGCACUAGACGUACGGCGCAGUUUGUAACUGAUACUACUACUCUAGUUACGACACGAGUUCUUCCACCUCGGAUUACGUGUGUUCUAUCACCUCGUAGCGUCCUUCAUACUGUCCGACUCCUUUCUCUCCCGCCUCUUCUUUCGACUCGCACUGUCCGAAGCAGCGGCACGGCUCCGUGUCCGACGAAUACUCUUCCGGUUCUCCUUCCUCGUUAGUAGUUCGGCGAGAAGUCCUCCGUACGGACCACCUUACGGGCCACCGAAGGGUAAGGGUCCUCCGUACCCACCUUACGGACCACCGAAGGGGCCUCCUUACCCCCCACCAAAGGGACCUCCUUACCCACCUCCAUACGGGCGUCCUUACCCACCUCCAUACGGGCGUCCUUACCCCCCGCCAUACGGGCGUCCUUACCCUCCACCAUACGGACCUUACCCGCCACCAUACGGACCUCGACCUCCACGAGGACCCUUACAACUAUACCCACUGUAGAACUUACUGGGACUGGACUACCGUCGUAAACCACUGGGUCUCCAAUACCGCCGGGAAGUUCUACACUACUCGUUGGGACGGUUGAACUGGUUCGUGGUCCGCUUGGGCUUCCACCCCGGGUAGUAUCGGUUCUACUACCGGUUCUACUUGCCCUUGGCCACUUGCGGGGGACUCGGGCGGGAGCACUGGCUACCAAAACGCUAGUAGUCGUCCUGUUUUUUGAGACCAAUUCACAACCGUCACAGAAAAACCGUAGCUCUUUGUACGCACACAACAGCCAACCGCUAUGAUCACGCGUCUCUGCGAACAACCUACACCCUAUACAGUACGGACCGAAAAAUAAUGUACAACCAUCAUUCAUCACCAUCGCUUGGACGCCACCGACUGUCAGACGCCUACGAACUCCCAAAAUGGCUCUACUACGCUGUCAAGGGACAAAUAUAUAAACCGUCUCUUCUGAAAUGUCGACUACUUACGGAAAAUAAAUACGGACGCUAAACACAACGGACUAAGA